rnacentral:rRNA from 1 species
AGUGAACGCUGGCGGUAGGCCUAACACAUGCAACUCGAACGGCAGCACAGUAAGAGCUUGCUCUUACGGGUGGCGAGUGGCGGACGGGUGAGGAAUACAUCGGAAUCUACUUUUUCGUGGGGAAUAACGUAGGGAAACUUACGCUAAUACCGCAUACGACCUACGGGUGAAAGCAGGGGAUCUUCGGACCUUGCGCGAUUGAAUGAGCCGAUGUCGGAUUAGCUAGUUGGCGGGGUAAAGGCCCACCAAGGCGACGAUCCGUAGCUGGUCUGAGAGGAUGAUCAGCCACACUGGAACUGAGACACGGUCCAGACUCCUACGGGAGGCAGCAGUGGGGAAUAUUGGACAAAGGGCGCAAGCCUGAUCCAGCCAUACCGCGUGGGUGAAGAAGGCCUUCGGGUUGUAAAGCCCUUUUGUUGGGAAAGAAAAGCAGCAGGUUAAUACCCCGCUGUUCUGACGGUACCCAAAGAAUAAGCACCGGCUAACUUCGUG